GGCGGUUCUCCGGUGACACAAACUGGAAUCGGGCUCCCUCCUCUCUGCUUCUGGAGUGCAUCACCAGAGAACCACC
rfam:Myotis lucifugus cont2.14469, whole genome shotgun sequence.